rnacentral:rRNA from 1 species
CGCCUCCUGCAAAAAUCAAUGUAUAGGAGGUCUUGCCUGCCCAGUGACAAGUUAAACGGCCGCGGUAUUUUGACCGUGCGAAGGUAGCGCAAUCACUUGUCUUUUAAAUGAAGACCUGUAUGAAUGGUGGAACGAGGGCUUAACUGUCUCCCCUUUCAAGUCAAUGAAAUUGAUCUGCCCGUGCAGAAGCGGGCAUAAAAAUACAAGACGAGAAGACCCUUUGGAGCUUAAGAUACAAGAUCAACUAUGUCAAGAACUCUAAAAUUAAGUUAAACUAAAUAGUUAACUGAUCCCUAUCUUCGGUUGGGGCGACCGCGGGAGAAAACAAAGCUCCCACGCGGACUGGGAUUAUAAUCCUAAAACCAAGAAAGACAUCUCUAAGUCGCAGAACAUCUGACCAUAAAGAUCCGGCCUAACCCGCCGACCAACGGACCAAGUUACCCUAGGGAUAACAGCGCAAUCCCCUUUCAGAGUCCAUAUCGACAAGGGGGUUUACGACCUCGAUGUUGGAUCAGGACAUCCUAGUGGUGCAGCCGCUAUUAAGGGUUCGUUUGUUCAACGAUUAAAGUCCU